rnacentral:sRNA from 1 species
GUCAGGCAUGGUGGUGCAUGCCUGUAAUCCCAGCAGCUCGGGAAGCUAAGGCAGGAGGAUUGCAAGUUCAAAGCCAGCCUCAGCAACUUAGAAAGGAACUAAGCAACUCAGCAAGACUCUGUCUCUA